rnacentral:lncRNA from 1 species
AUUGUCUCAGGAAAAUAUUGAUCAUAAAAUAUCCCUUUGAAUUUCUCCCAAGUCAGUUGAUCAUCAGAAUUUUCAUAAGCAGCUUUUAUUGUAGUCCACCAAAACUCAGUGUUUCCUUUCAACAUAGGCAUGACUAAUAUGACCUUUACAUUCUCGAGAUAUUGUAGGACAUCGAACAUCUUUUUCAUCUCUCGAAUCCAUGUCUCUGCAACCAAAGGAUCAGAUCCGUCUUCAAAUAGUGGUGGGUUGAGACUUCUGAAUCUCUCAUAGUAUGACUCCAUAGAUGAUGUAAAUCGAGGAGUGACUUGUGUCUGCUGUUGCAGAUAAGCUAGACCACCACUUGGCAUACUCCAAUAAUGUAUGUCUGAGUGGCCAAUGCAUUAAGAGCCCGCUCUAUCGGUUAGUUGGCAACUUCCUGCGACGUCAUUCUUGCUCCUCUUGUCCUAACAACCAUAAUUGCCAAGAUUUCAUCCUCUCUGUCGCUCAUCAUUUUCUAUCCAAAAUUUAACAUUAUUCUAUUUUUAUAACAGGACAGUAGUAUAGUUAAUAAAAUUUAUCAUUCUUUAUUCAAUUAAGUCAGAAUCUAACUAUACAUGGCAUAACUAUCCACUGCUAGAUUUUAAGUUCUAUCCAUAAUCAAACCUAUAGCUCUGAUAGCAUAAAAUAUCACGCCCUAAAUUCGAGACAUAAUAUGGCCAUGCUAUCAAGGGAUACAGCCUAUAAUAAUACAAAACCAACAUUCAUC